GGGCGUGUGGUCUAGUGGUAUGAUUCUCGCUUUGGGGCGAGAGGCCCUGGGUUCAAUUCCCAGCUCGCCCC
rnacentral:tRNA from 1 species